GGGGGGGGGGGGGGGGGGGCGGGGGGCGGGCGGGUCGGGCGGGGGGGCCCUGCUUGCGGGGGGCUCGGGUGGCGGACGGGUGGGUAACACGUGGGUGCUCUGCCCUGCCCUUCGGGGUACGCCUGGGCACCUGGGUCUCGUACCGGCUAGGCGCCAUUUUUAGUGUGAUGGUUGGACCGUUUUUUCGGUGUAGGAUGAGCUCGCGGCCUAUCAGCUUGUUGGUGGGGUCAUGGCCUACCAAGGCGGCGCCGGGUAGCCGGCCUGAGAGGGUGGACGGCCACAUUGGGACUGAGAUACGGCACAGACUCCUACGGGAGGCAGCAGUGGGGAAUAUUGCACAAUGGGCGCAAGCCUGAUGCAGCGACGCCGCGUGGGGGAUGACGGCCUUCGGGUUGUAAACUGCUUUCGCUAGGGACGAAGCUUUUGUGACGGUACCUAGAUAAGAAGCACCGGCUAACUACGUG
rnacentral:rRNA from 1 species